UAAAAAACGUAUCUUUCUUCCCCAAAAGCAACCCAAUAAAAUUCCUGAAACAAACCUAAUUAAAAAACCUCUCUUUCUUCCCCAAAAGCAAACCCGUUAAAACUCCUCAAAAAAAUAUUUUGCUAGCAGACUAAAGAAUCAACGAAGAAACAACAAAUCAAGCAAAACAACGCUGACCCAAGCACGACCAUGGGUGUUCCUCUCUCAAACGCAGAACCAAGCUCGACCAUGGGUGCCAACGUUUUCAAUCUUCGACCCGGCCGCCAUAUCAGAUCAUUCUCUCUAGGUUUUGUAAGAAAAUAUUGUGGAUAUGAAUGGGUUUUGUAGUGGAGAUGGUAUUGAAGAGCCUCCCAACCCUCAAAAUCUGACAACAAUCAUACAGGUUUUGCCUUAUCUUCAAGUUCUGCUUUAUUUGCUAUUUAGGUUUUUUUACCAUAUCCGAUUUACCUUAACUUAAUCGUCUGUUUGAUUGAAUAAUUAUUUGGCUAACUAAAAUGCCAGCCUUCUCUGCCUCUUCAUUAUAGAGAAAUAGGGAAUUAAAAAUGUGUUGAUGAAAUUUUUAUUUCUUGCUUUAUAAUUAAUUCUUAAUUUGGUUUGUAUUCUAGAGUUGAUUGUAUUUUGUAGUUUAUAAUUUUGAAUUUGGUUGGAAAUUUUUAUUAUUAUUUGUGAAUUUGAAAUUUAAAGCAGUUGAGUAUGAGGAUAUUUGUAAACCUGUAGUUUGGCUUUGUGUGUGGUUCUAAUAUAUAUCAAAUUUCAGGAAGGGGUUACUUAGUAUGUGGUUUGACCUAUAAAACUUCAAUGCUGCUAUAUCCUCCUCCUCUCAGGUAUAGAAUUCAAAAGCAAUGUGCAACUCACACUAACAUUUGUACUCAAGGAAAACCAAAGGACAUAUUCAGUGUCUACUACAAAGCAACAAAGGAAGAAAAUACAAAAAAACACUUUAAAGUUGUCUUUCGAUUUAUUUUAAAUAUUGAUUAAGUAGUUCUUUAAAUUUGUGUUUCAUACAUUUUAUGGAUAAUUGAGGAUGUUAAAGAUUUAAUUCUUCAUUUUAUUUUAAACUUAUGUUUGAUUUCUA